rnacentral:tRNA from 1 species
UAGCUCAGUGGUGGAGCACAUGCCUAGCAUGCACAAGGCCCUGGGUUCAAUCCCCAG